rfam:Actinotalea ferrariae CF5-4 contig65, whole genome shotgun sequence.
GCCCGCGUAGCUCAGGGGAUAGAGCGUCUGCCUCCGGAGCAGAAGGCCGCAGGUUCGAUUCCUGCCGCGGGCA